CCAAAUAAUUUUGGUGCUAAAAUUCCUACGCCUACAUGUACAUGUAUUACUCAUAGCAAUGCAAUUCCUGUUAUACUUUUAUGCCUAGGGAAUUAUUACAUACAAUAUACAUGAGUACAACUCAAAAGCAUAAAAAUAUACACAUAAAGAAAAUCAUUAUAAUGAUAAUUAAUGAAAUAAUUGUUAACUGUGUUUAAAAUGAGAUAAAAUCAAUGUAGUGGAAAAAUGUUGGAAACCUUUUUUGAAACUAUUUGCUUGGAAGAACGGUCUCAGGAGAUAUAAUUUGGACAGUAUAAAAAAGGAGAACUAUUCAAAACAAAAUACACAAUCAUGAGCAAAUGCCCCCGCUAGCAUAUAACGUUAUAAAGGGACAUAACUAAAGAACUGUAAAAGUGAAGCUGCCAAAAUUUGAACUUAAACUGCGUUUUGGGGGGAGAUUUUGCAUUUACAAAAAUUGUAGACAGACGAACAAAGUGAAAACUGUAGGGCUCCCACAUUCUCACCAGGGAGUCCUUAUGAUGGCCGUUUUGAGAUAUUGAAAUUGUGAUGAUUUGUUUCUAUCAAAGUAAAAGAGUAUUUUAUAUCCAAACAAUAACUGAAAUAGCAAAACUUUUUGAAUUGUUUGUAAACACACCACUUUUAAUUGGCGGAGAAAACUAGUAUAUCUUUUUGGUUGGGGUUCAAUAGUGUAAAGAAAAGAAGUUCAAGCCUCAAAAGCCAACUUUCUGGAAAUCCAUUUUUUUUAUACAUGACCCGAAAAGACUGAAAAUAAAAAUCCUGUUUUUGUCAAGUAAACAAAUACCAAUUCCUAGUAUGCAGCUAUAUACAUUGGAAAACUUUGAAUUCAUUCUUAAAAUUAUAAAUCCUUUCACUGCUGGUACACUUUUUUUUUUCUUUUU
rnacentral:lncRNA from 1 species